CUAUGCUUUCUGACCAACUUUUUUUUUUUUUUUUUUUUUUUUAUGAUUUGUCAUUGUUGAGAUGGGACAAAAGUCACAUUCAGACUACGUCACAUGUCGGUGGUGUUGAGAGGCAAGAGGGGAUCCCUCGUUCCCUCUUCCCAAAUUUCUUCUCCUUUGCUCUUCACCGUGCCCUGCAGUCUCUGUUCCACUGUCCUGUCCGUGCGUCCCGGGAAUAAAAGGAAUGACCAGUAAAACCCCAGCUGGCGGGGAGCAGGGCGGUAGUGUUUCCGUGUGUGUUGUCGGGCAGGGAGGGUGACGGUAGCUCCCAGAUCCUGGACAGGAAAUACCACAAGCUUUUGUCCCUUCCGGGCACUGGGCGCAUCCUGCUGCCCGCAGGGGUGACGAGGGACACGGACCCAGCGGAGCACUGCCCAGGCACAAAUGCCAUUCUUAGGAAGUAAGUGUCCUUCGUGCCAGGCCGGCCGGGCUGAGGCCUCUGCCAGAUGCUCGAAAUGGGACAUCAGUGGUGUCCUGGGAAUCUAAGGAUUGAAGCUAGACUCUGUUACCGUUGCAGCCCCACAGCGGACGAGAUGUUCACUGACCUCACGGCCACGGCGGACACGCAGAGGCUGUGUGAGAGCUUCUGGACGCACGGAGUGGCGGGCAGAAUGGGAGACCAGGUGCUGAGGGAAACGCAGCGUAAAACAGUGUUGGCGGAUCGCUCCACGCCUGCCCAAUAGACACCUGGGACCCCUGCUGCCCAGCACACGCGCAGAUCGUAACCCAGUGGGCUUUGUGGGAAGAGCAGCGUGGCAGCACAGAAGAGCCAGAGCCAGCAAACACGGUGACGCGCUCCGAGCCAGGACUCCCGAGGACGCCCAGGGUCCCAAGUGAGAUGGGGCCUCUAGAGUCAGAAGCAGGCUUACCAACCGUCAGAUGAGACGUGUUCCGCCCUCCCUCCUGACAGACUUGCGCAGCACUUAGAAGGCCAGGCUCGGGUGUGAAGUUCUCAGACUCUGGCCCCCAGGCCCGUCCUGUCCCGGCUCCUGGGUCACCUGGCAUCGGGAGCGACCUCGUGUGGCUGCGUGUGGGCAGCCCGGCUCCCACGUGCGGACUUGGUCCGCUGACCCAGGGCGCCUCGGCCACCCCUCACGUCCACGUCUGUGCCUACUGCUGGGAGAAUGGACCUCAGGAGGAGAGAUCCAGAACGCACAUCUGGAGAUGAGCUGGGGGCCGCUGGGGCAGGGACUCCUGGGAGGGUCCCAGGUCCCUGGAAGGAGGGCUGUGGACUUGAAGUGGGCAGGCUCCUUUGGGGACUCAUCAUCACGUGGGGAGGGACACAGCCAGAAGGGGCCGGGGGAACGGUCUUGCCUGAUCUGAGUAUGGCUUUGCUUUGAUCAUUUCCUUAGAACGUCUCCGAGGAAGAUAAAGGGGGAGAGUUUGGCAGGAUUGAAGAACCCAGGGCACUGCCAUAUAUCUGACAUUGGGGAAAACACACAAACAAAAACAACCCAGUGCCUGAAAGGAGGACGUGUUAAGACAGCAGACAUGGGGAAGCUGUUCAGGGAGAUCGUCCACUACCGGUGCCACCGGGGAGUACCGACACGGCAACAUGGGAUGAUGUACGUGCAGGUGUAAGACAGCUGUGGGAACAUCUGUGUACCCCAGGGGAGGCCUGGGAGCUGGUCUGCAGACGUGACGACAGCUGCCCACAGGGGGGUCUAGGAGAUUUCUUCCCCG
rnacentral:lncRNA from 1 species